AUGUCGGCUAAACAGUACCACAGCACAAUGACCCCACUGCAUGCUUUAACAGCCGCCCCUCUAAGCCAAAAUCCAUGCCUGAAAUGGUUCUAUUUCAGCCUCAAUAGAAUGAAUCUUGCCUAUCUUGUCAAUAAAAAAUUAUAAUUAAGAGAUACUUUGCCAAAGAUUCUCAUGCUUAUUUUUCUAAGAAAUCUGAGCGGUUUGAAUUAGUGACAGCUUGAACAAAAAUCUGAUUGGUUUGUCAUGCUAAAGUUGAUUUGGUGUUUUUGUUUUGUCUUAGCAUUGGCAAUUUGAUGGUCGAAUACGUUGAAUGACGGCUUCCUAAUUGUUGCAUGUGGGACAGAUGUGCUGGACAACAGGAACUUCCAAAGUAGAAUUCCCUUUCAAUAAGCAAAUUUGUCUUCGCUCAAAGAACUUAUUUUUCUUCUUCCUUGUAAUUUUGUCAUGAUUGAAAUAACCUAGAAUCCACAAAAUUUUCACAUCAGAAGUUUAACUUUUCUAUUUUUUUUAAAAAUUUUAAAAAUCCCCAUUUUUAUUUUUUACCAUAUUGAGGAGAUUUCAACCCUCUAUCUCUAAUCCCACGUAAUAGGGUCAAACGCUAUUAUAUCACAUUACCAUUAACUUAACUUGUCUACAAUGUUUUCAUGGGAGAGAUAGGAGUAAUAUAUUUUUAUUGUAUGCUCUACAUGCAAAUAUUCAAAAGUAUCCUUUUCAAGUGAGUGCACUGCAUUCUUCUUUUCUCUCUUAUUUUUAUCAUUAUCCUUUUGUGUUGCAAAUUUGACCUGACAGUAACCAAUGUAUGUGCUGUGAAUAUUAAGGUGGCUAUAGUAUGUCAUCAUUCUGCUUUGUCCCGAUUUAAUCUAGUAGCGGUUUUCUUUAAUAAAUUACGCGACCUUAAGAUUAUCCUAAGUAGACAUUUCACAUUAAAAUAUAGAUAUAAUGCUGGUCUAGUUGUAAAAUUAGCUCAAGAAAAAAAGCUAUCCAAGAGCUAGACCCUUUUAGAUAUUGUAAAUUUCUUUAAAACUUUCUCCUCUCUCCUCGUGUAUGUGUUAAAAAUACUUAGUAUCCCAAAAAAAAAAAAAACUUAAUCCCUUCUACUUUCUUUCAAUGGGAAAAUUAACUUUUAACACAUAAUUUUUAAGUACUUUAUUUCCUAAUUGCAUUGCACAUGCAAAUGGCAGUCACAAGUAGGCUUAAAAUAAAUAGAAGAGGGGAAAUUUUGCAAACCAAAUCUUGGAAGAAACUGUCAAAUGAUUUUAAUGUCAUUAUUUUAUUAAGGCACGUUUACUAUUUGCAAGUGAUUAUAAAAUGGGAUACAGAUGAAUCUCUCAUAGUUGAUAGUUGAUAGUUCUAUUCUCAAAUGUACUUAGAGAAAAGCAUCAACUCUACUCACCUGACCUGAGUUGUUCACAUCUUUCUUUCCUUUUUCUUUCAGCAUUUGACUUUCUUCUUAUUUUUUCUUUUGGUCUGUUCUGAAUUCUGAUUGAAAGUGGGGUUUUUCUGCAUGAAGAUCCCUAUAGAUUCUCUUGGUAAGAUUUAUAAGGGAAGUCAGUAAAAAAAAAAAAAACAAGAGGAUCUUAUUCACUGCCCUUUCCCUCUUUCGAAAAGUUAGGCUUACCAAGGGACCGUAAUAAGUGAAAUACUUAAUAGAUGAAGGCACAUCAACGUGGGAGAUCUCUAAAAAGACAAAAAGUCAGGCUGUCUUAUUCUCUGCCUCUUUUAAGGCUUUGCAUACUACCCUUGUGUUCCUGUGGGUCUUCUGGUUUUCCAUAAAAUCUAAUAUUAUUGAGACCAUUUCAAACAUAUCGAGGUAAGUCACUAAGAAUUUGCAUAUAGAAGAAACAACCAAGAAAAAGAAAAAUAGAGAGAACUAUGAAUAAUAAAUACACCCACUUAAACUGUUUUCCUUGAACUUACUUUCCUUUCCCAUGUUGCAGAUAUCCUUGCAGAAUCUGAGGCAAGUUCUGAUUUUGGAGGCUCUUCAUCCAUUCAGAGUUAGAUUCUAGUUUUCCUCAACUAGUUUCCCCUAUAUUUGAAUUGCUUUAUUCAAUUAUUUCUAUGCUGGUUAUCCAUUAAAUUAAUCUUUGAAUCUCUCUAUUUUUCUUAUGUAAAACAAACUUGUAGAAAAUGGAAAAGACCCAUUUGUAAAGAAGCCACCUUGAGAUGUUUUUUUGGUUUUGAUUUUUGGGUAUUAUAGGCAAAUCAUCGAUGGAGAAUGGUAGAUAUGGUUUAUACAGGCAGAGCAGUGGUCUGUGGAGGUCCUUGAGAGAUGGAGACUUUGAGGAAGAAGAUGUUUGGGCUGUUCUCAGAGAUAGGACAGAUUCGACUUCCAUGGUUGGCAAAUCCAAAGAACCUUCUACUUCUGUUCCUAGACCACUCCCAAGUGCUUCCAGAAUGAUACCAAGGGCUACAAAUAGCAGUAGUAGUAGUAAUGGAUCUUCCCAUGAACCCAAAAUUGUUCAGCAAUCAGCACCUGUGAACAUUCCUGACUGGUCAGCGAUUUAUGGAAAGAAGUCAAAAAAGGCCUCUAAGAAUGCUUCAUGGCAUGAUGAUGAUGAUGAUGAUGAUGAUCAUGGGGUUAUGAAUUAUGCAGGGGACAGUGAUGAAGAUGAGGAUGAGGAUGAGUACAAUUACAAGUUACCCCCACAUGAAAUUAUUUCUAGGAGGCUUGCAAGAAGUCAGAUAUCUUCUUUCUCUGUUUUUGAAGGUGUUGGGAGGACUCUCAAAGGGAGGGACCUUAGCAAAGUGAGGAAUGCUGUCCUAACAAAAACUGGUUUCCUUGAAUCACCUUGA
rnacentral:sRNA from 1 species